GAUAGAAUUCUAGGGUUUUGGAACUAAUUUUGAAGCAGUGUAAUUACUUUGCCUCAUUAUUUGUUUCACUUAGUUGUAUCAAAAACUGUCAUGAGAGAGUCUUUAGUAUGUAAAUGACUAUAAUAGUUUUGCAGUCACUUAGUUAUUAUAAAAGCUGCCAUGAGCAGUUUCUAGAAGUUGGAAGAUCGACGAAAGAAGUUUUAGCUAGACUUAAUCAUAAGUUAUCUCUCGUCUUCUGUUAUUAUGAAGAGUGUGUUUAUUAGGUGAAUGAAAUGACAUAUGGUUUCAACCAGAAGGUCCAAGGGUCCUAAUGUUUUGACUGCAGUUUCCUCUAGUCGUUCUGUAUCGCUUACAGCUCCAUCGCAGGCAAAUUUUAUAUCAGAGCCUUCAAACUUUCAACAGAGGUUUACAUAGCAAUAUUUCUUUGUUUUUGUUUAAGGACGUAAAUUUUGUUGGGUAAUAUGGAUUAUGCAUAUGUUCCUUUUUCAGGGAAUCAAGAGAGCCCCUCCCCGGUCGAACUUUUCCCUCGAUAGUUUCUUCUAGUCAGGUUCAAAUCUCUAUAUAUUAUUGCCUUAUUUUGUCAUCUUUGUUUUUGUUUGACAGGUUUCUGCGUAGCAUUGGUUUCCACUACAGGCCUGGACUUUGUUCCGGUUUUAUGAGGCAUGUAAAGCUCUCAACAUUAGUUGUAGUGCUGGGCUCACUGAGAUUGAGCAGAGAUGACUUUAUUGGACAAAUGUUUGACCUAAUCGCAAAGAUUAGAUUCAAUGCGAUUAAGCUGUACAAUACGAAUGGAGAAGGUGGUGAAUGAUAUAAUGAGUUUUGCUGGAGAAGAUUUAUGUAUUUAUGCUUCAAGUUCAUUGAUGGAAGAUUACACUAUAUGGAGCUAAACUCACUUCCGGGAAAGUUGGCCAAUGAUGCAGAUGGUAACAUCCCGCAUCUGAUUGGUUUUAUUCCGAGAGAAAAAAAGUUUCUUUUACUUUAGACAAUGAUGCAUCGGUUGGUGGAGAUUGUGGACAGGGGUACUGAUGCUCGUAAUUUCUUGCUGGACAUUAUGGACAGAGGAACUAGAUGGCAAAACAAGAUAUUUUAGAACUGGGUUUCAACACAGAUGUGACAAUUCAGAAGUGUCUGAAGAGAAAAGAGGGUUUCAAAAUAGAUGACAAUUCUGAAGUAUCUAGAGGGACAAGAAGUGGGUUUAAUCUAUAAUAAUUUUUGAUGUUUAGUUUUUAAUUGAAGUUACUUUUGAUGUUAAUUGGCAAUAACUAACUAACUUAAUGUAUAAUAGCUUGAAUUUGAAUGAGAAUUUUCAAUUUUCGUUUGUGUAA